UGGGAGCUGGGCGAGUUCCAUGCCGAGCUGCGUUCGGAACGCGAUGCGGAUGGACGCCUCCAUGUACAUCGCGUGCUGCACGCCAGCGCUGAGC
rnacentral:tRNA from 1 species